UAUAAUCCCAGCUACUUGGGAGGCUAAGGCAGGAGAAUCUUGAACCCAGGAGGCCUCCGCCUGGGUUGCAGUGAGUCGAGGUCACACCACUGCACUCCAGCUUGGGCGACAGAGCUAGACUCCGUCUGGAGAAAAAAAAAAAAAGAAAGAAAGAAAUACAGCUGGGUGUGGUGCUCAUGCCUUAUCCUAGCACUUCGGGAGGCUACGGCAAGAGAAUCACUUGAGCCCAGGAAUUUGAGGCCAGCCUGGCCAACAUGGUG
rnacentral:lncRNA from 1 species